CUGUGGUCCAGCGAAUUGCGCCCUUCGCUGAGGCCCCAGGGUGGGACCGCGGCCUAUCAGGUAGUGGGUGGGGUAACGGCCCACCUAGCCUACGACGGGUACGGGCCCUGAGAGGGGGAGCCCGGAGAUGGGCACUGAGACAAGGGUCUAGGCCCUAAGGGGCGCAGCAGGCGCGAAGAUUCCGCAAUGCCCGAAAGGGCGACGGAGUGAACCCGAGUGCCACCCGCUGAGGGUGGCUGUUCCCCUGUGUAAAAAGCAGGGGGCAGGAAGGGGAGGGCAGGGCUGGUGGCAGCCGCCGCGGUAAAACCAGCUCCCCGAGGGGUUCCCACGCAUACUGGGCCUAAAGCGUCCGUAGCCGGCCCUGUAAGUCUGCAGUUAAAUCCGCCUGUAGACAGGCGGGUUGCUGCAGAUACUGCAGGGCUAGGGAGCGGGAGGAGCCGGGGGUAUUCCCGGGGGAGCGGUAAAAUGCGUAGAUCCCGGGAGGACCACCAGUGGCGAAGGCGCCCGGCUUGAACGCGUCCGACGGUGAGGGACGAAAGCUGGGGGAGCAAUCCGGAUUAGAUACCCGGGUAGUCCCAGCCGUAAACGAUGCCGGCUAGGUGCUGGCCAAGGUUUCGGCCUUGGCCAGUGUCGAAGCGAAGGCAUUAAGCCGGCCGCCUGAGGAGUACGGCCGCAAGGCUGAAACUUGAAGGAAUUGACGGGGGGGCACCACAAGGGGUGAGUGCCUGCGGCUUAAUUGGACUCAACGCCGGGAAUCUUACCGGGGGCGACAGCAGGAUGAAGGUCAGGCUGAAGACCUUACCAGACGCGCUGAGGGGUGGUGCAUGGCCGUCGCCAGCUCGUGCCGUGAGGUGUCCUGUUAAGUCAGGCAACGAGCGAGACCCCCGCCCCUAGUUGCCAGCGGCCUCCUUCGGGAGGGACCGGGCAAACUAGGGGGACCGCCUCCGAAGAGGAGGAGGAAGGUGGGGGCUACGGCAGGUCAGUAUGCCCCUAAUCCCCCGGGCCGCACGCGGGCUGCAAUGGGCGGGACAGCGGGAUG
rnacentral:rRNA from 1 species